UACAGGGGGGGCAAGCGUUGUUCGGAAUUACUGGGCGUAAAGGGCUCGUAGGCGGCCAACUAAGUCACACGUGAAAUCCCCAGGCUUAACCUGGGAACUGCGUGUGAUACUGGAUGGCUUGAAUCCGGGAGAGGGAUGCAGAAUUCCAGGUGUAGCGGUGAAAUGCGUAGAUAUCGGGAGGAACACCAGUGGCGAAGGCGGCGAUCUGGGAAGAUACUGACGCUGAGGUGCGAAAGCGUGGGGAGCAAACAGGG
rnacentral:rRNA from 1 species